AGCGCAGGCGGGAAGACAAGUUGGAAGUGAAAUCCAUGGGCUCAACCCAUGAACUGCUUUCAAAACUGUUUUUCUUGAGUAGUGCAGAGGUAGACGGAAUUCCCGGUGUAGCGGUGGAAUGCGUAGAUAUCGGGAGGAACACCAGUGGCGAAGGCGGCCUACUGGGCACCAACUGACGCUGAGGCUCGAAAGUGUGGUAGCAAACA
rnacentral:rRNA from 1 species